CGCCAGACUCCUACGGGAGGCAGCAGUGGGGAAUAUUGCACAAUGGGGGAAACCCUGAUGCAGCGACGCCGCGUGAGCGAUGAAGUAUUUCGGUAUGUAAAGCUCUAUCAGCAGGGAAGAAAAUGACGGUACCUGACUAAGAAGCCCCGGCUAACUACGUGCCAGCAGCCGCGGUAAUACGUAGGGGGCAAGCGUUAUCCGGAUUUACUGGGUGUAAAGGGAGCGUAGACGGUCCUGCAAGCCAGAUGUGAAAUUCCGGGGCUCAACCCCGGACCUGCAUUUGAAACUGUUGGUCUUGAGUAUCGGAGAGGCAGGCGGAAUUCCUAGUGUAGCGGUGAAAUGCGUAGAUAUUAGGAGGAACACCAGUGGCGAAGGCGGCCUGCUGGACGACAACUGACGGUGAGGCGCGAAAGCGUGGGGAGCAAACAGGAUUAGAUACCCGCGUAAGC
rnacentral:rRNA from 1 species